AUGGAGGCAGAGCCUAAUCCUUCAAUGGAGGCAGAGCCUAAUCCUUUAAUGGAGGAGGAGCAUCAUCCUUCAAUGGAGGAGGAGCCAAAUCUUUAGUGCCAAAGGUUUUAUAAUUUGCUAUAGGCCGCUGAUGCAAAAUUAUACCCUGGUUCUUCCCUCUCUCAACUCGCAGUAGUUUCCAGGAUGCUAAAUAUUAAAAUGGAGAAUACUUUAUCACAAAGAGUUUAUAACCAAAUGAUGUAAUUGUUGAAAGAGGCUUUACCAGAAGAUAACACAAUGCUUAAUAACUAUUAUGAGACCAAGAAGCUAGUGCGUAGCUUGGGUUUACCAGUUGAAAAUAUUAAUUGUUGUAAUUCUGGAUGUAUGUUGUAUUGUGGUGAAGAUGAGGACCUCACAUCUUGCAAGUUUUGUGGCCACCAGAGGUACAAACGUCGUGUUGGUUCUCGUAAGAGGAAAUUAAUCCCUUACAAAAAAUGUAUUAUUUUUCUUUGAUUCCUAGAUUGCAGAGAUUAUAUGUAUCUCAUGCUACAGCCGCUGAUAUGAUAUGGCAUCAUGAGCACAUACAAGAGGAGGGCGUAAUGCGUCAUCCAUCAGACUCUAAGGCUUGGAAGCACUUCAACGAAACUCAUCCCUUUUUUGUUGUUGAACCAAGAAAUGUGAGGUUGGGAUUAUGUACUGAUGGUUUUCAGCCCUUUGGCCAUUCAGGGAGGAAAUACUCUUCAUGGCCAGUAAUUGUCACUCCAUACAAUUUGCCUCCAGGGAUGUGCAUGAAAGAGGUAUACAUGUUCUUAACUGUCAUUGUUCCAGGGCCAAACAACCCUAAACAAAUAAUUGAUGUUUAUCUACAACCUUUAAUAAAGGAAUUGACCUUGUUGUGGGAGAUGGGUGUAGAAGCAUUUGACAUCUCAAAAAAACAAAAUUUUCAAUUAAGGGCCGCUUUGAUGUGGACAAUCAAUAACUUUCCAGCAUAUUCUAUGUUAUCUGGAUGGAGUACUGCCGGUAACUUAGCAUGCCCUUAUUGUAUGGAAAAAGAUUACGUCAUGGUGGGAAAACAACUUGGUUUGACAGUCAUAGAAUAUUUCUUGACCAAAAUCAUCCGUUUAGGAGAGAUCGUAAAAACUUUCGUAAAGGUCAGACUGUCAGAAGGCUACCACCACCCCUUAGAACAGGAGAGGAAAUCUUGAACCAAAUUUGUGAGUUGGGACUGAGGAAAGUAACUGAGCUAGAUGCACAAGAAGUUAAUGGAAGAAUUUCUAGGUCUUGUGGAUGGAAAAAGAGAAGUAUCUUUUGGGAUUUCCUUUAUUGGAGUUCUAACAUGAUCCGACAUAAUCUCGAUGUCAUGCAUAUUGAGAAGAAUGUCUUUGAUAAUGUAUUUAACACAGUUCUUAAUGUUGAUGAAAAAAAAAAAGACAAUCCAAAGGCACAUGAAGAUAUGGUAAACUAUUGCGAUCGACCACAAUUGGCAAAGAAUCCUAUUGAUGGAAGCUAUCCCAAAGCUGCAUAUACAAUAGAGAAGAAUCAAAAAAUUGUCUUGUUCAAUUGGUUGGAAAAUGUGAAGUUUUCAGAUGAGUAUGUUUCAAAUUUGAGUCGAUGCCUAGACACAGACAAGUAUAAAUCAUUUGGUAUGAAAAGUCAUGAUUGUCAUGUGUUCAUGCAACGAUUAAUGCCUAUUGCCUUUCGUGAGCUACUUCCUAGUAACGUGUGGCAAGCACUUACGGAAUUGAGCUUAUUUUUUAAGGAUCUCACCUCGACUGUUCUUCGAGUGGUGGACAUGGAGAGAUUAGAGGCAGACAUCCCACAGAUCUUGUGUAAGUUAGAGCGUAUAUUUCCUCCCGGAUUCUUUAACUCAAUGGAACAUGUGCCUGUACACCUGCCAUAUGAAGCAAGGAUUGCUGGACCUAUACAAUAUAGAUGGAUGUAUCCUUUUGAGAGGUUAUGAACUUUUUAUGCUCUUAUUAUGACAAGUAUGCUACACAUGACUUUAUGAAUUUAAUGGUCUAUCCAUUUACUUGUAUAAGUACAUUUGAACUCUUAAAAAAUGAUAGAGAAUAAAGCUAGUGUCGAUGGUUCAAUUUGUGAAGCAUACUUGAUGAUGGAAUCAACGCAAUUAUUUUCUCAUUAUUUUGAACCUCACGUCAUGACACGUAAUCAUAAUGUGGCCCAUAAUGAUAAUGGUGGUGCUAUGGAAGAUCUUGAAGAAAAUUUAUCAAUAUUCACCCAUCCAGGCUGACUAUGGGGAGAAGGAAAAAAGAGAAGUUUGUCCCUCGAAGAAAUCAAGGCAGUCCAAACUUAUAUUCUACUAAAUUAUGUAGAGGUUGAGCCAUUUGUAAGAUAUGCCUCGAGGUAGAGGUCGAGGUAGCGCAGGCCGUGUAGGUAUAUCUUCAGUUAGGGGUAAUUUUGCUACUCGUAAAAAUAUGCCUAUUGUUCCCAUUCCCACAAUUAAUUCUCAACAAGAUGGUACGAGUUCCUCAGGUGGACCAGAUCGCAUCAAUCAAGUUCAAACAUUAGGUCCUAGUAGUACGCCACCUAUUCAAACAUCAGGCCAUGGUAGUACCCCAAUUAUUAAUUUGGAACCAUCUCCAAAUACCCCUAAUCAGAGAAACACAAUAGGUGAGGGUACAUCUUCUCAGAACAACAUAAUAGGCGAAACUGAGUGUAACAGUACCCGCGGGCCACAAACGCUUCUUACUAUUUCUCCUACAGGGUUAGAGCCUUCAUAUGAAUGCUCUGAGUGUAUAACUAAGUCUUUCAGGCAUGAACUUGAUCCUAAUGGAGUCAACUGGAAACGCGUCUCAGAUGAGAUAAAAAAAAAUUAUUUUGGAGAAUUCAAGAAGGCAUUCUACUGGGAUUCUUCAAUUGAUAUUGCGGUGCAGGUCCAAUGGGAGCUUAGGGUAGCAAAAAGAUAUAGUGAUUUUGUUAGCAAACUAAAAUCAAAUGGGUGCAACCGGACUCUAUUCCAAAUAAUGUGUGGCAAAGUUGGUUGAGACUUUGAAAAGAUCCUAAGUGUAUUGAAAAGUCAGAAAUAAAUGCAAAAAAUUAUUGUGCUAGGAGCGGAGUUGCCACUGGGACUCACACAGGUGGCUCUAUCAGUGUUGGGAAGCAUAGCAAGAGACUUGCUGUUAAAAAUGGUCGAGAUCCAACACCAAGUGAGUUGCAUUUGCACGUCCAUACACAUGGUAAUGAUGGAAAAUCUUUUGUUGCUGAGAAAUCCCGAAUCGUACAUGAAAAAUAUCAGGAGAUAUUAUAACAACAAACACAGACUCAAUCUGAUAUUGAUCAGUGUAAAGCAUAUUAUCAAGCUGCGGGAGGAGAAAAGAAAAGAAGAGUAUAUGGUCUUGGAUCUCAAGCAAAAUGCUACUACGGGCUAAAUUUUCAUGACUCUUUUGGAUCUGAUGCUACAUCGUCAGCAACACCUCCAAAUGCUCAAUCAACACCGACAGGGAAUCUGGAUGAAUUAGUGAUGCGAUUGAUUCAUGCACUGACAGAUCAUAUAGUUCCUGUAAUCGUUGAGCGGGUACGCGAAUUAAUUUUCUUACCCUCGCAUCAGCCAAAUACUGAUCUUACCAACCACCUAUUAGAUGUGGCACCUACAGUCCUUACAUCUUCUACUGCUGCUAACAUUGAUGAGGUUCAUGCAUUGGGUUCUCAUGAUGACCGUAACUCUCCAGCCUCGCAUAGUUAGCCUAUUUUCUUUGGACUUUAUUGUUGGUCCUUGUGAUUUUUUUGUACUUAACGAUUACCAGUAUAUGCAUUAUGUUAUAUAUUUUUGAACUUGUUGAAUAUAUUGUUAAUUUAUAUUAAUAUCAGUGACUUUUUAUUAAGUGUA